rnacentral:SRP_RNA from 2 species
UGUCGGUCCCCUCGCAAUGCGAAGUUGUGAACCCCGUCAGAUCCGGAAGGAAGCAGCGGCAGCAACGGAUGCGUGUGCCGGGGUGUGGCUGGCGCGG